CUGAAGUUACAGGAAAUAAAAAGUACAAAGGAUGAAUUCUUUUACUGAUUUAUUGCUAAAACAUAACCGAAUUUUUACCUAGAAAACAUUUUUACCCUAGCUAAGGCAUAUGCAGUGUUUCUCAUGGUACAUAAAAGCUUCGUCCCAAAAUUAUGAGUCUUGAAAUCUAUGGUAAUCCACUGUUACUUGCCUUUUUCCUAGUAUCUCGCAUAUGCUUCUAUAAAUAGCUUGCUUAUCUCAAUUUUCUUUAUUAAACCAGGGAUAGGAACAGCUGGAUAAUAUGAAUCAUCUCACACCAGUGGAGGCAAUAACUUGACUCCAGGGGCUUGCUCUGGCAGCUGAAAGAAGAAGAAAAGGGGUAGGAGUGUCAGGAGAGGGCCAUUGCAGAGUAAAGAUGAUCAGACAGAACAUUCUACCCUCUCUCAGAUGCAAAUCAACCAUCUCCACUGCUUCAGAGCCGCUCUACCUGCUUGGGGUCUCUGCUAUUCUCGCGCACCUCAGCACUUCUAUUCUUCU